AGUGAACGCUGGCGGUAGGCCUAACACGUGCAAGUCGAACGGCAGCACAGUAAGAGCUUGCUCUUACGGGUGGCGAGUGGCGGACGGGUGAGGAAUACAUCGGAAUCUACUUUUUCGUGGGGGAUAACGUAGGGAAACUUACGCUAAUACCGCAUACGACCUACGGGUGAAAGCAGGGGAUCUUCGGACCUUGCGUGAUUGAAUGAGCCGAUGUCGGAUUAGCUAGUUGGCGGGGUAAAGGCCCACCAAGGCGACGAUCCGUAGCUGGUCUGAGAGGAUGAUCAGCCACACUGGAACUGAGACACGGUCCAGACUCCUACGGGAGGCAGCAGUGGGGAAUAUUGGACAAUGGGCGCAAGCCUGAUCCAGCCAUACCGCGUGGGUGAAGAAGGCCUUCGGGUUGUAAAGCCCUUUUGUUGGGAAAGAAAAGCAGCAGGUUAAUACCCCGCUGUUCUGACGGUACCCAAAGAAUAAGCACCGGCUAACUUCGUG
rnacentral:rRNA from 1 species